CCUACGGGGGGCAGCAGUGAGGAAUAUUGGUCAAUGGCCGCAGGGCUGAACCAGCCAAGUCGCGUGAGGGAUGACGGUCCUAUGGAUUGUAAACCUCUUUUGUCAGGGAGCAAAGGGCGCCACGUGUGGCGUUUUGCGAGUACCUGAAGAAAAAGCAUCGGCUAACUCCGUGCCAGCAGCCGCGGUAAUACGGAGGAUGCGAGCGUUAUCCGGAUUUACUGGGUGUAAAGGGCGCGUAGGCGGGAUGGCAAGUCAGAUGUGAAAUCCGGGGGCUCAACCCCUGAACUGCAUUUGAAACUGUCGUU
rnacentral:rRNA from 1 species